rnacentral:rRNA from 1 species
AACCCUGAUGCAGCAACGCCGCGUGAAGGAAGAAGGCCUUCGGGUUGUAAACUUCUGUCCUAGGGGAAGAAACAAAUGACAUUACCCUUGGAGGAAGCCCCGGCUAACUACGUGCCAGCAGCCGCGGUAAUACGUAGGGGGCGAGCGUUAUCCGGAAUUAUUGGGCGUAAAGAGUGCGUAGGUGGCAUCUUAAGCGCAGGGUUUAAGGCAAUGGCUCAACCAUUGUUCGCCUUGCGAACUGGGGUGCUUGAGUGCAGGAGGGGAAAGUGGAAUUCCUAGUGUAGCGGUGAGAUGCGUAGAUAUUAGGAGGAACACCAGUGGCGAAGGCGACUUUCUGGACUGUUACUGACACUGAGGCACGAAAGCGUGGGGAGCAAACAGGAUUAGAUACCCUGGUAGUCCACGCCGUAAACGAUGAGCACUAGGUGUCGGGGUCGCAAGACUUCGGUGCCGCAGUUAACGCAUUAAGUGCUCCGCCUGGGGAGUACGCACGCAAGUGUAAAACUCAAAGGAAUUGACGGG